AGUGAACGCUGGCGGUAGGCCUAACACAUGCAAGUCGAACGGCAGCACAGAGGAGCUUGCUCCUUGGGUGGCGAGUGGCGGACGGGUGAGGAAUACAUCGGAAUCUACUCUGUCGUGGGGGAUAACGUAGGGAAACUUACGCUAAUACCGCAUACGACCUACGGGUGAAAGCAGGGGAUCUUCGGACCUUGCGCGAUUGAAUGAGCCGAUGUCGGAUUAGCUAGUUGGCGGGGUAAAGGCCCACCAAGGCGACGAUCCGUAGCUGGUCUGAGAGGAUGAUCAGCCACACUGGAACUGAGACACGGUCCAGACUCCUACGGGAGGCAGCAGUGGGGAAUAUUGGACAAUGGGCGCAAGCCUGAUCCAGCCAUACCGCGUGGGUGAAGAAGGCCUUCGGGUUGUAAAGCCCUUUUGUUGGGAAAGAAAUCCAGCCGGCUAAUACCUGGUUGGGAUGACGGUACCCAAAGAAUAAGCACCGGCUAACUUCGU
rnacentral:rRNA from 1 species